rnacentral:rRNA from 1 species
GAUGAACGCUGGCGGCGUGCCUAAUACAUGCAAGUCGAGCGAACAGACGAGGAGCUUGCUCCUCUGACGUUAGCGGCGGACGGGUGAUGCACACGUGGAUAACCUACCGAUAAGACUGGGGUAAGUUCGGGAGACCGGAUCUAGUACCCGACAAGAUAGUGAACGGCAGGGUUCAAUAGUGAAAGACGGUUUUGCUGUCACUUAUACGUGUAUCCGCGCCGCAUUAGCUAGUUGGUAAGGUAACGGCCUACCAAGGCAACGAUGCGUAGCCGACCUGAGAGGAUGAUCAGCCACACUGGAACUGAGACACGGUCCAGACUCCUACGGGAGGCAGCAGUAGGGAAUCUUCCGCAAUGGGCGAAAGCCUGACCGAGCCAUGCCGCGUGAGUGAUGAAGGUCUUCGGAUUGUAAAGCUCUGUUAUUAGGGAAGAACAAAUGUGUAAGUAAACAUGGCUGUUUUGACGGUACCUAAUGAGAAAGCCCCGGCUAACUUCGUG